rnacentral:other from 1 species
CGGUCUCUUCCCUGUGCGAUACCGGGCCUUAUUUGUUGGCCCUACAAGUUCUCCCGCGGGAACUUUUGUGGGCAGGCGAGCGUGUCACCUUUGCGUGGAACGCGCGACCCUGUUCCGAGAUUCCCACUUUUUGAAUGCGGGUUCAGAACAAAUUUCGUCCGAACGGCAGGGCAGAGACUUU